rnacentral:rRNA from 1 species
GACGAACGCUGGCGGCGUGCUUAACACAUGCAAGUCGAACGGAAAGUCCCUGCUUUUUUGGGGUGCUCUAGUUGCGAACGGGUGAGUAACCCUUGAGUAACCUGCCCUUGACUUUGGGAUAACUUCAUGAAACUUUGGCUAAUACCGGCUAGGAGCUCCUGCUUCUUGGUGGGGGUUGGAAAGUUUCGGCGGUUGGGGAUGGACUCGCGGCUUAUCAGCUUGUUGGUGGGGUAGUGGCUUACCAAGGCUUUGACGGGUAGCAGGCCUGCGAGGGGGACCGGCCACAUUGGGACUGAGAUACGGCCCAGACUCCUACGGGAGGCAGCAGUGGGGAAUAUUGCACAAUGGGCGGAAGCAUGAUGCAGCAAAGCAGCGUGCGGGAUGACGGCCUUCGGGUUGUAAACCGAUGUCGCCUGUGACGAAGCGUGAGUGACGGUAAUGGGUAAAGAAGCACCGGCUAACUACGUG